rnacentral:rRNA from 1 species
CCGCACGGUAAACGAUGGACACCCGCUGUCGGCGAUACACUGUCGGCGGCCAAGCGAAAGCGUUAAGUGUCCCACCUGGGGAGUACGCCGGCAACGGUGAAACUCAAAGGAAUUGACGGGGGCCCGCACAAGCGGAGGAACAUGUGGUUUAAUUCGAUGAUACGCGAGGAACCUUACCCGGGAUUGAAAUGUAGAUGCCAGCUCCAGAAAUGGGGUAUUCCUUCGGGACAUCUAUGUAGGUGCUGCAUGGUUGU